UUAUUAGAUUAUAAUAAGACUACGUUUGUUACUUUAAUGUUUGUAUAAAAUGGGCAGGCGCUCUAAUCACUUUCGUUUUCAAGACAGCCUUACAGUGCACAGGUGUUGGUAAUGGAUAGGAGAAGAGAGUCCGAAGACUACAAAUUUCACUAAUGAUCCUUCCGCAGGUUCACCUACGGAAA
rnacentral:misc_RNA from 1 species